UACAGAGGGGGCAAGCGUUGUUCGGAAUUACUGGGCGUAAAGGGCGCGUAGGCGGCCUUCUAAGUCGAACGUGAAAUCCCCGGGCUCAACCCGGGAACUGCGUCCGAUACUGGAAGGCUUGAAUCCGGGAGAGGGAUGCGGAAUUCCAGGUGUAGCGGUGAAAUGCGUAGAUAUCUGGAGGAACACCGGUGGCGAAGGCGGCAUCCUGGACCGGUAUUGACGCUGAGACGCGAAAGCGUGGGGAGCGAACAGG
rnacentral:rRNA from 1 species